rnacentral:rRNA from 1 species
GACGAACGCUGGCGGCGUGCUUAACACAUGCAAGUCGAACGGAAAGGCCCUGCUUUUGUGGGGUGCUCGAGUGGCGAACGGGUGAGUAACACGUGAGUAACCUGCCCUUGACUUUGGGAUAACUUCAGGAAACUGGGGCUAAUACCGGAUAGGAGCUCCUGCUGCAUGGUGGGGGUUGGAAAGUUUCGGCGGUUGGGGAUGGACUCGCGGCUUAUCAGCUUGUUGGUGGGGUAGUGGCUUACCAAGGCUUUGACGGGUAGCCGGCCUGAGAGGGUGACCGGCCACAUUGGGACUGAGAAACGGCCCAGACGCCUACGGGAGGCAGGAGUGGGGAAUAUUGCACAAUGGGCGGAAGCCGGAUGCAGCAACGCCGCGUGCGGGAUGACGGCCUUCGGGUUGUAAACCGCUUUCGCCUGUGACGAAGCGUGAGUGACGGAAAUGGGUAAAGAAGCACCGGCUAACUACGU